AGAGAGAGACAUGCGCGCAUAUCAAUAAGCGGAGGAAAAGAAACUAACAAGGAUUCCCCUAGUAACGGCGAGUGAAGCGGGAAGAGCUCAAAUUUGAAAUCUUAAAGGGUUUCCCUUUACGAAUUGUAGUUUAAAGAAGUGUUUUCUGUUGAGGUUUUGGUAAAAGUUCUUUGGAAUAGGACAUCAUAGAGGGUGAGAAUCCCGUAUUUGACCAUUAUUUCCAGCUGUGUGAUACACUUUCAAAGAGUCGGAUUGUUUGGGAAUGCAGUCCAAAAUGGGUGGUAAAUUUCAUCUAAAGCUAAAUAUUGGCGAGAGACCGAUAGCGAACAAGUACCGUGAGGGAAAGAUGAAAAGAACUUUGAAAAGAGAGUUAAACAGUAUGUGAAAUUGUCAAAAGGGAAGCGUUUGACACCAGUGUUGUUUUUCUGAAAAUCAAUUAAAGAACUGUUUAUGCUAAGCUGUUUAGACUUUAUCAGCUAACUGUUUAGUUUUGAGCUUUUCUUUAAUGCACUUUUCAGUUAACAAGUCAACAUCAAUUUCUUUUGCUGUAAAAAAGCUUGAGGAAGGUGGCUUGAGAUUCGUCUUAAGUGUUUAUAGCCUCUUGCCUAUGCAGUCGGAGAGAUUGAGGUCUGCAGCGUAGAUCCUUCGGGGCUAAAUGCAUUUGUGCUAAGUUAUAGCAUUUUAUAGACAACUUGUUGACUAUGAUUUGUCUUGUAGCUUACUCGCUUAUGUUAUUUUACCUACGCUUAGGAUGUUGACGCAUGAGAUAUACGC
rnacentral:rRNA from 1 species